GGGUUCGCGCCAUUUUCCUGCCUCAGCCUCCCGAGUAGCUGGGACUAUAGGCACCCGCCACCACGCCCGGCUAAUUUUUUGUAUUCACAGUACAGACGGGGUUUCACCGUGUUAGCCAGGAUGGUUUCGAUCUCCUGACCUCGUGAUCCGCCCGCCUCUGCCUCCCAAAGUGCUGGGAUUACAGGCGUGAGCCACCGCGCCCGGUGGAAAGGACACUUUUUUACAGUAUGAGCACUGAAACAAAAAGGCAAAGCAAGGUCUGUUCACCUUCAGCUGAGAACGUGAGGAUUGGUUCAGGAGUACAUGCGCAGGUUUGUCAUAUAAGCAAAUUAUGUGGCACAGAAGUUUGGUGUAUGGAUUAUUUCAUCACCCAGGCCGUUUCUCAGCGUUGGAUGUGCAAGCAGUUUUGAGAGAUGAAGUCAUGACUUCAAGACAAAAAAACAGGUUUGCUUAUUUUGCUACAAACCAAUAAGUUCUUCAGCCAUGCUGCAAAUCCACUGUGUAUCCAGUUCCCAUCUGCGGCCCGCACAUCAUCCCCAUGGGACUUGAGAGCAAGAGGAUCCCACGCAAAUCAUGUUGCUUGCUAUGCUAUCCAGGGCUCCCUGGAGAACUGGCUAAUUCUCGGGCAUGGAAUGAAAAAAUACAAGAUGAACCUGGAGAAGCUUUCUGUGUCAGAAAGUAAGAACGUGCUCAAAGAAUGAUGGGACCAUGUGAAAAGGACAUAGGAGUCUGUUUGAAAGGCAUCCCACUGGCCAAAUAUAGGAUAACUCUGAGGAUAAAAAUGUCAGUAAAGAAUUAUAACCCACUGAAAUAAAAAAUGAUAAAUGGAUAAAUGAAGGCAUUAUUUAUAGGACAAUGACAGCUAAUACAUUUUAAAAGAAAAAUGAGAUACAAGAUCAACAUUUGGCAAACACCAUAAUAAUUAUUUCUGGCAAGAAACAUCCAUGAAAGCUAAAAACUAAUGGAUGCAAAUUGAUGAGAAAGAUAAUAUUUAUAUAACCUCAAAGCAUCUCCUUCAUAAAAUACUUAUUAGUGACAAAGUGAAGAUGGUGACUCUACAAUGGAGGAACCUAGCAGACAGCAUCUUAACCAAGGGAUCAAGAUGGAACAAUUGUGUACUAUAAUGUUCAUUCUCAUAUCAGGCGCUAAGUACACAACAUCACUUUUGUGCUACUCUGCACAAAACCCAUAACUGAAAUCUAACUCUGAGGAAACAUCAGAUAAAAACAAAAUGAACAAUAUUCUUUGCAAUAAGUGAUCUGUGCUCUUCAAAAUGUGAAGGUCAUAAAAGACAGUUCCAGGUCAAAAGAGACCAAAGGUGCACAAUAACUAAAUAAAAAAAGAACCUUAUAUUAGAUUUUGCAGAAGAAACUAUUUUUUGCCCUUUCUUUAAAGAAUAUUAAUGGGAAGUUGGUGAAAUUUGAAUAAAGUCUGUACAUGAGAUGAUA
rnacentral:lncRNA from 1 species